UACGGGGGGGGCAAGCGUUGUUCGGAAUUACUGGGCGUAAAGGGCGCGUAGGCGGCCUGCUAAGUCGGACGUGAAAUCCCUCGGCUCAACCGAGGAACUGCGUCCGAUACUGGUGGGCUUGAAUCCGGGAGAGGGAUGUGGAAUUCCAGGUGUAGCGGUGAAAUGCGUAGAUAUCUGGAAGAACACCAAUAACGGCGAAGGCAGUUAACUAUUCUGUUACUGACAUUGAGGCACGAAAGCGUGGGGAGCAAAACGG
rnacentral:rRNA from 1 species